CCUACGGGAGGCAGCAGUGGGGAAUUUUCCACAAUGGGGGAAACCCUGAUGCAGCGACGCCGCGUGAGCGAAGAAGUUUCUCGGUACGUAAAGCUCUAUCAGCAGGGAAGAAAAUUACGGUACGUGACUAACAUGCCCCGGCCAACUCCGUGUCAGCAGCCGCGGUCAUACGUAGGGGGCGAGCGUUAUCCGGUUUGACUGGGUGUAACGUGAGCGGAGACGGCAGGGCAAGUCUGGAGUGAAAUGCCGAGGCCCAACCCCGGGACUGCUUUGGAAACUGUGAGGCUAGAGUGCAGGAGAGGUAAGCGGAAUUCCUAGUGUAGCGGUGAAAUGCGUAGAUAUAAGGAGGAACACCAGUGGCGAAGGCGGCUUACUGGACUGUAACUGACGUUGAGGCUCGAAAGCGUGGGGAGCAAACAGGAUUAGAUACCCCAGUAGUC
rnacentral:rRNA from 1 species